rnacentral:rRNA from 1 species
UACGUAGGGCGCAAGCGUUAUCCGGAAUUAUUGGGCGUAAAGAGCUCGUAGGCGGUUUGUCGCGUCUGCCGUGAAAGUCCGGGGCUCAACUCCGGAUCUGCGGUGGGUACGGGCAGACUAGAGUGCAGUAGGGGAGACUGGAAUUCCUGGUGUAGCGGUGGAAUGCGCAGAUAUCAGGAGGAACACCAAUAGCGAAGGCAGCUCGCUGGGACGUUACUGACACUAAGGCGCGAAAGCGUGGGGAGCGAACAGG